rnacentral:rRNA from 1 species
AUGGUUCAGGUUGCACACUGCGACACGGCGGCCGAAGCAUGGGUCGCCAUCCGGGAGAUCUUUAUCUCCCAAACUCAGGCACACGUCGUCAACACCAGAAUCGCCCUUUCCACCACCAAGAAGGGCAACUCAACGAUGUCCGAGUACAUCGGGCGCAUGAAGGCGCUCGGUGAUGAGAUGGCAUCGGUGGGCAAGCCGCUCACCAACAACGACAUGGUGUCCUACAUCCUGGCGGGACUCGACUACGACUACGUGUCCUUCGUCUCCACGAUCUGCGCUCGUACUCAGCAAAUCAAGGUGAGCGAGCUUUACUCAUAG